rnacentral:rRNA from 1 species
UACGUAGGGAGCGAGCGUUGUCCGGAAUCAUUGGGCGUAAAGAGCUCGUAGGCGGUUUGGUAAGUCGGAUGUUAAAUCUCCAGGCUCAACCUGGAGCGGCCAUUCGAUACUGCCCUGACUAGAGUCCGGUAGGGGCCCACGGAACUCCUGGUGUAGCGGUGAAAUGCGCAGAUAUCAGGAAGAACACCGAUGGCGAAGGCAGUGGGCUGGGCCGGCACUGACGCUGAGGAGCGAAAGCGUGGGGAGCGAACAGG